UACGUAGGGUGCAAGCGUUGUCCGGAAUUAUUGGGCGUAAAGAGCGUGUAGGCGGCUUGGUAGGUCCGCUGUGAAAACUCGAGGCUCAACCUCGAGAUGUCGGCGGAAACCACUUGGCUAGAGUCCGGAAGAGGCGAGUGGAAUUCCUGGUGUAGCGGUGAAAUGCGCAGAUAUCAGGAGGAACACCAAUGGCGAAGGCAGCUCGCUGGGACGGUACUGACGCUGAGGCGCGAAAGCGUGGGGGAGCGAACAGG
rnacentral:rRNA from 1 species